UACGUAGGGGGCAAGCGUUGUCCGGAAUCAUUGGGCGUAAAGAGCGUGCAGGCGGCCAGAUAAGUCCGCUGUGAAAUCUCGAGGCUCAACUUCGAGCUGUCGGUGGAAACUGUCUGGCUAGAGUCCGGAAGAGGAGAAUGGAAUUCCUGGUGUAGCGGUGAAAUGCGCAGAUAUCAGGAAGAACACCCGUGGCGAAGGCGGUUCUCUGGGACGGUACUGACGCUGAGACGCGAAAGCGUGGGGAGCGAACAGG
rnacentral:rRNA from 1 species